CUCUCUCUCUCUCUCUCUCUCUCUCUCUCUCUCUCUCUCUCUCUCUCCCCUCCCCCCUUCCUCUCGCUUUCUCUAUCUCUCUCUCCCGCUGCUUCCUUGGUUUAGUGUUGCCUGUGUUGUGCCCGAAAGCAGUGUUGUAGAUUUUAUUGCGCUGUGCCCGUAAUCAUUGAGUGACAGCCCUGUGCGUGUGUUGCCGCGUCAGGAAGGGAGUGUUGCGUCUCCAGGAGGGUCUUCCCCUUCCGAGUGGCGUCUGCGCUUGCUUCCUUCGUCAGGCACCUCCCGCCUCACUCCUUGCUUCCUCCCGUCUCCCAGAGUCUACACACCUGCCUUCUUGAGGUGUGUGCGUGCGUGUGUGCGCGGGUGGAGGUAGAGGAGGGAGGGGCGCAAGGGUGGGCGGCGGUCCCUGCCUCACCUGAGUUCUGGGAGUGGAGGAAAUUGAAAGAGUGUCACUGGUCACCGAACCCUUCUGUCCGCCAUCACGGUUCUUGUAAACAACGCCAAGAGACCGCUAGGGCAAACACUUUUCUUCUAUCUUCACUAUCACUGUCCUGUUACUAUUUUACUGUGCAUUAUUAAAUUCAGUGUAUUUUUUACAAGUACUGUGAUGUUUUCUUUGGUCUUAAUCGUCUAGUUCUCUUUCUUGUAAUAUAUAGUAACUCAUGUCUACGCUUCCGUCUCCAGUAACACCAUUUUGUUACUAAUUUCCUAUGCGUCGGUGACCAUUUACUUCUGCUACUUACUUCUUAUGUACAUGUUAUGUAUAAACUUCUAGGCAAAGAAUAAAUGAAAUGUUAAAGAGACCGCCGGGUUAAAGCAUUCUUCCUUGUUUCCUAUCGAGAAGUCUGUCUUUGAAAUUACGGCAUGAAAAUAAAUUAUGCUUCGCCUACUUGAGAA